rnacentral:snRNA from 1 species
UCUCUUGUGCUCGGGCACGAGCUAUGGCCAGUGAGGUUCUUACCGAGGCAUAGCCAUUUGCUAGUUGCAAACUACCCAAAUCCCACCUCUUAGCUUUGACUUUGAGGGAAUUUUUGACACUUUGAUGC